rfam:Triticum aestivum genome assembly, contig: Triticum_aestivum_CS42_TGACv1_scaffold_149124_2BS
UACGUACUCCCUCCGUGUGGAAAUACUUGUCAUCAAAAUGAAUAAAAGAGGAUGUAUCUAGACGUAUUUUAGUUCAGGAUACAUCACCUUUUAUCCAUUUUGAUGACAAGUAUUUUCGGACGGAGGGAGUAUUAA